UACGUACCGGGAAGAACGAUUACUCCAUGCGUUCCUCUUCUUUUCUAUCUCGAACGAAAAAGAAGCACAAUGACAGUUCACUCGCGAUAAUGGCAGAUGCGCACGACGGCCUGUCACGUGGUAGAGCGGUAGGUGUGCAAAAACGUUGCAACAACACGGCGCGUGGACGGUCGCGUCUGGACUGAUCGUGGGGGUCGAGCCACAGGUGUCAUCAGACGGCGGCUGCUCCACCCCUCUGCCCCCACUCGGCUUCCUCACCCGCCUUCAAUCCCCACUCUCGUCGUUACUUUCACGCACACGUCUACUCGUGCCGGAGGAGACGCGUGCGCACAUCAACCGGCUUCCUCUAUCCUCUAUAAUCAUGCAAUAUCAUUUGCUCUACCCAUGGCGCCUAUGAACUGACCGAACGGCGGCACGUGCUUUGCAUUCUAUCUUACAAAUGAUAUGGACAAGUUUUUCAAAUUGAUCUACAUCGCUAUUAGAAUUAAUAGGAACCAUUAAGAACUUAUCGUUUAAUUAUUCACCAUGCGUUUAGAAAUCUGUUUAAGCAUCGAUAAUUCGUCAGUAGCUUGAAAUAUUACAUAAGGUGAAAAUCAGUAGAUAACCAAGCUAUUGUGGAUCGAGCAUUACUUAUCGUACACUGUAAGCACUUCAGAAAAGAUGGAUACUUGAAUUACCUCGGAAAUACACACAAAAUUAUGACAGAAAUAGAUGAAGAAUUUAGGCGGGAAAAUAAAGGAUGUUAAGUAUUACUGAAUAUAAAUGUUCGUAAUUCAAAUAGAUAUUCAUUCAAAAACCAGUGUAUUUCGUGGCAAAAUGUAUAACGUCAGUUAUUGACGCGGGAAAAUAAAGGAUGUUAAGUAUUACUGAAUAUAAAUGUUCGUAAUUCAAAUAGAUAUUUAUUCAAAAACCAGUGUAUUUCGUGGCAAAAUGUAUAACGUCAGUUAUUGACGCAAUGCUCAUGACGUAUUCUCACUCACCCAGUCGCACUCAUACGAAUUCCUCCCUCUCUGUGAUUUAUACUCUUUACUACUUAUAUGUAUAUAUAUUUUUCUUUAUGUUUGCUUAUAGAAUAUUUAAUAUUUUUCUCUCUAUUUAUUCAUCAUUUCUGUUUCAAUUCGUAUCUGUACACAUAGUAUCACUGAAUUUAUCCCUAACACAUCUUGAAGAACUGUAUUACAUACAUAAACAUAUGCAUAAAAUCAAUUUGAGACUAGUCAUCCGACACCAAGCAAUCUUAGUACCAAAAUAGUAACAUUUAUCUGGUAUUGGUAAUUUACAGUUGACAUACCAAAAUAAACACAAUGGGGUUUUAUCUACACGUAUUACCAAUCCUUGGUGUAAAAUUGUACGUACCCAUACAUAUUUUAAACAGUACAUAUAAUUAUUGAUAAUAGCGACAUAAUUGAACGACUUAUACAUUUCUUGCACAUCAUGCGUAGGAUCAUUAUACGCAUUUGUAUUAACAAGAAUGAAUGCAAUGACGCUAUGCGUACAAUAUAUCAUUGUAAUGUUAGAAUUAUCGAUAGUCUAAUUACAUAUACAGUAUGUGAUAUGGGUGCUUAGCCACUGUUUCAGCUAUGCGGUACGUAAUUUCCCACGCACCCAAAUAUUUGUUUUUAUAAACGAGCUAAUAAUACGAGUUUUCCUUUCUAAUUCGUAAAAGAAAUCGCACAACAAAUCACUCGUAUCGAUUUAUUAAAUUAAAAUUAAUAAUCUGUUGUAUAAUUGUUUUAACGUUUCUUUGUACUAUUUUUAUAAAAAUAUUUACCGAUCUUUAACGGGAAAAAGUUUAUAAGUAGAACUAUUUUCUUAGUUCUUACGAAGAGAAGGAGAAACUUAUCGAUUUCUCAUUGCUAGCAAAGUCAAACUCGUAUGAUUGGCUCCAAAACAAAUUGGCAACCUUUCAGUCGCCCUCGACUUCGUCGCGUGUCACUUGUGAGACUCGCACGACCGUCCUGGGAAACGGAAGCGCCACUCACUUCCUUCCUCAUCCAAACGACUUUUUUUCUUUUUCUUAAAAGGAUCUUAAGUAUAUGCAAAGUAUGUGCAGAUGAGAGAGAACCAGGCUACGUUGUUGUGGAAAUUGUUCCAAAAAUCAUUCCGACACAUCCAACUUCGUUAAACACGUGUAAUAACCAUAAACUAUGAAAGUCAGUAAAAAAUAAUGAAUAGUAGAAAGAUCUACGUAUUAGAAGCGGUUAAUUUCUUUUUCUAUCGCGUGAAACAAAAACAUACUGUGAAAAUUGCAACAAUAUAAAAUAUAUAUUCGUGAUUGAUUAAUAUAAUUUUUCGAAGUAGUAGUAAAUAGAAAAUAUAGCGCAUAAUUAUACUUCGAUUCAACUGUAAACACAUACAUCACGCUCUAUACCAUUGCUAACAUUUAAUGCAAAUCUACGUCGCAUAAGUAAUUGAUUUAGUCUUAAAAGUUAAUGAUUAAAGGGACACUCGUUAUGUCCGAAAAGCCUCUUCUAUAUGUCAUAAUAUAUAUACUAUUCAACAUGAUAUCAUUUUUUAUUUAUUUUUAUAUUUGUAAUGAUGCUAAGAUAAAAUAAUCUUGCGUUGUCUUCGGCUUAAUCUGUGAAGAGCCACGUCGAUAAAGAACCAAAAGCUACGGCCCUGUUAAGCGCCGAAACAUCUGUAAUUUCUAGACGAGACUGAAAUUUUCAUGGCGAUAUAUCAGAAGUUUCCCAGGACGAAUAA